AGUGCGUGAAACCGCUCAGAGGUAAACAGGUGGAGUUGAACUGUAAGCUGCGGGGAUUCAGCUGGUGAGUCUGUCAUGGGCUUGGUCAUAUUGGUCAGCCAACGAGGUCCGCUUAGUUGCGGGUUCCUUCUCUCCGGAGGGGGAAUGUGCGUUGCACUUAUCAAGUGUUGUGCGCCUCGGAGGUUGAUGGCCUGCUCGCCAGUGCACUUUCUCGUAGUGAUCACCACGAUCGGCGCUGUUGCCUUUCGACUGUGGAUAAACCGUUCAGGUCUGGUCUUUAUGGCUGAAUCUGUCGGGAUGGCAGGUAGCUCGUUGGUUGGCGUGCCAGCCAGUGGGUGUAAUCAGCUGUCUGCAGUAGAUUUGUGCAAUGCGUCGGAGACGACGGCUUCUGGCAUGGGCGUGCGUGUCCUUCAUUGGCGGAGCCGGGUCUGAUCAGCAUGUUACUCACAAAUGUGGGUCUGUUGAUGGCUCGGUUUUGUCCUUUGAGGGUUUGCGUGCGUGUUGCCGUUCAAGGGCCUAUAGUCUGUGGUGUUGUAGUGAACGA
rnacentral:rRNA from 1 species